CGUUAAAACAUCGGUUCCCGUACGACCACCAAAGUUAAGCAACGUCGAGCUUGGUCAGUAUCUAGAUGGGUGACCGCUUAGGAAUACCAGGCGCUGUGA